rnacentral:ncRNA from 1 species
UACCUGGUUGAUCCUGCCAGUAGUCAUAUGCUUGUCUCAAAGAUUAAGCCAUGCAAGUCUAAGUACGAGCUCUCGUACAGUGAAACUGCGAAUGGCUCAUUAAAUCAGUUAUGGUUCAUUUGAUCGUACAGUUUACUUGGAUAACUGUGGUAAUUCUAGAGCUAAUACAUGCGAGAAGCGCCGACCUCGCGGGAGGCGUGCAUUUAUCAGACCAAAAACCGGCCGCGUCUUCGGGCGCGUUCGCCUUGGUGACUCUGGAUAACUUUGCGGAUCGCACGGUCUAGCACCGGCGACGGAUCAUUCAAGUGUCUGCCCUAUCAACUUUCGUCGGUACGGUAUUUGCAUACCGAGGUUCUUACGGGUGACGGGGAAUCAGGGUUCGAUUCCGGAGAGGGAGCCUGAGAAACGGCUACCACAUCCAAGGAAGGCAGCAGGCGCGCAAAUUACCCAUUCCCGA